UCGAUUAGAUACCCCCGUAGUCCCAGCCGUAAACGAUGCUCGCUAGGUGUCAGGCAUGGCGCGACCGUGUCUGGUGCCGCAGGGAAGCCGUGAAGCGAGCCACCUGGGAAGUACGGCCGCAAGGCUGAAACUUAAAGGAAUUGGCGGGGGAGCACAACAACGGGUGGAGCCUGCGGUUUAAUUGGACUCAACGCCGGACAACUCACCGGGGGCGACAGCAAUAUGUAGGCCAAGCUGAAGACUUUGCCUGAAUCGCUGAGAGGAGGUGCAUGGCA
rnacentral:rRNA from 1 species